rnacentral:rRNA from 1 species
AGGUGGUGCAUGGUUGUCGUCAGCUCGUGUCGUGAGAUGUUGGGUUAAGUCCCGCAACGAGCGCAACCCCUAUUGACAGUUGCUAACAUUAAGUUGAGAACUCUGUCAAGACUGCUGUUGAUAAAACGGAGGAAGGUGGGGAUGAUGUCAAGUCAUCAUGGCCUUUAUGUUCAGGGCUACACACGUGCUACAAUGGUUGGUACAAAGUGUCGCAAUCUCGUAAGAGUGAGCUAAUCAGUUAAAGCCAAUCUCAGUUCGGAUUGAAGCCUGCAACUCGACUUCAUGAAGUUGGAGUUGCUAGUAAUCGUAGAUCAGCAACGCUACGGUGAAUACGUUCCCGGGUCUUGUACACACCG